rnacentral:lncRNA from 1 species
GUUGGGGUUGAAGUGGUCAUAGAUCAGUUUCUUUUAUCAGUUAAUAAUUCCUAUUAUCUAGGACACGUAGGUAGUGUUGGUAGUUAUCUUUAGAUAGGUACUUAUCAUGUAUACAUGGGUAGUUUUUUUUUCCAGUUUCUUUCUUUGUUGGCUUUUCAAUUCUGCACUGAUGUAAGGCUUAUUUAAGCCAUCUGCUCUAUUAAAUAAUAUGCAAUGGUUUAUAACAAUCCCUAUCCUUAUAAGUUUAUUAUUAUAUAACAUAAAUCCAAGAUUUAAUUAAGGGACUCUUAACAUACGGAACCCAAACACAUGAAAAAAUGAAGAACAUAACUUAUGAUAGUUCUAAUGGGAGAAGCCAAUUUGAGAUAAUUGUAGAUCCAGUGAGUAAGCAGGAAUAGUCUCCCCAUGUGAUGGGGUUUCAUGUCUCACCGCCAUGUGAAUCAUCGGUCCUGUAUAGACCGAUUCAAACCCCGGUUAGGGUCAUGGUUGUGCUGUAGAGUAAACCACAACUUCAUCUUCCACAUCUCCGGCAUAUAUCAUCUUUUCCCAAGAGACUCACAUUCGAUUCACAAAAUAGAAAACAAGGUAAAAAUAAAGAAAAUGGUUACCCGUUUCUAGUGUCGCCUUGCUCUGUUGUGAACAACCCUUGGUUGUGGUCUUCUUUCACCACCGAGAAUUGGGGCUGCCUUGCUCACUGGUCAAAGACCAAUGCAAGUUGUCGCUAGAGAAUAGAAGAAAUGAUAAGACGACCUAGUGGUUUUGUUGUGCGGCAAGGAAGUCAUCGCCGUGUUCCACCGACGAGCAAUGUCCAUCUUCGCCGAAGAUGAGAGGUGAAGAAUUUAAGGAUUUUCAUUCCCUUUUCAAUUUUCUUUCUUCGUUUUUUUAUAUUUUCCACAGGUAUCCUCGCACUAGAGGCAAUCAUGACCGAGCCGGAAACAUCCACAGGUACGUGGGGCUAACUCUCCCAGCGGACAUUUUUUCCAUCCACAACACUCGAACCCGAGACCUUGCUCAAGGAAAAUCAAGCAUGUACCACUUGAACCAAUGUCCGUUGGUAAUUUUCUCUCUUCAUUUAACAUGGUGAACCCCUUCACUUACAUCAUUUACUUUAAUUUUAAGUUUAUUGUUUUUAUUAUAAUCUUUUCAUUUCAUUUUUUAAUCUUUUUUUAUUUUAUAUAUUAGUUAUGGGUAAUUAACUCAUCCCAACAAGAUUGUGGCCCAUUAAAUCAAUCCUUAUUAAUUGUUGAGUAACAACUCUACACUUAUCUUUAAAUAUAUUUCUUGAACGUUAAACUCACAUUGCUAAAAAUAAAAAAUAUCUAAUCAUCUUUUAAUAAUAAAUUAAAUAUUUUUAAAUAGAGUUUGAUAGUUUGGUCUAUGACUCGUGUCGUUUCUUCCUUUCCGCCCUAAAAGUGGAAAGUCGGUCUACAACCAGUGUUGUUUCUUUGCUAUUAAUCUCAUCUUUAUAAAAAUUAAUUACUUAUGAUUAAUUUUUUAAAACAACUUAAAUACUGCAAAUAAGAUUUGGUAGUCCGGCCUAAAGCUCGUGUCGUCUCUUCCUUUUCACUAUAAAAAGUAGAAAGUCGAUUUACAACCAAUAUUAUCUCUUUACUAUUAAUCCAUAUUUUCAUAAAAUUUUAAGAAAUAUUACUACGACGAAAGCUAUAAAUUUAAUUGAAUCAAAUCCAAUCAAAUCAAACAAAUUAAACAGUUUUAUAACCAGAACUACAUAGUUUGAUUUCCCUAUUGCACUUAGAGAUGUGUAGGAGUAAGAUAAUCUCUUGUCAUAUACAAAUAUAAAAAAUAUAUUUUGCUUUAGUAAUUGUUUCUUUAAUAAAUAAUUUUAAGGGUAUAAAACUCCAUAGGAAUAGUGAGGGUACCUCUUUCACACGGGCAGACAGGGUGCUAAUACCUUUCUCAAUCCGUAAUCAACUCUUGAGCUUAGAAUAUCUAUUCAAAGACCAUUUUUAUCCAAUUCAGGCAUAAAGAGAGUUUUCUACAUUUUAACCCAAAAAACGUAGUAGUGACUCCAAUUCAAUUGGGAGAGGUAGAAAUUGAGUCCGCCUCUUCCUAAGUCGUAGAUCCAGUAUUCUAACCGAAAAUUGGGUUGUGAUAGUUGGCGACUCCACUAGGAAUUUAUCCAUAAGAGAUUCAGACUCAUAACUGCUAAUUACAUGGACUUAAGUACCCAUUUUUUGAUUUAUUGCUUUUAUUUUGAAUUAUAAUUGUUUUGUGCUUAUUUAUUUAAUUUAUCUUAUCUUGAUUAUUUAUUGCAGCUUUUCGGGGGUAAGAGUUUAUUUUUUGAAAAGGUUUGAACGCUUCCCCACAGACGAACACCCUACACUCGAGUUACACACAUAUGCCCUAUACUCGGGUGUUAAAGAUUAGGUUUGAGAUAAAAAUGGACAUUUGCCUUACCGAUGUUGUCCUAGUGCCAAAUCUUGUAUCGGCGUGAUGGACCAUCCAUGUUGUUCCAGUAUUAUGAGUUAGUCGCUUAGGGAGCUCAUCUCCUUUCGUUUGUAACCCAUGAUAUUCAAUUUUCCUUUGUUUCGGGAUUGGAUGCAAUAUGGUGACCUAGAAGUCUAAAGCAUUUAUCGAGUCCACUAUAAAUAAGACUUAGUACCUCGCUAAAGGCUUGUGACCUUCAGACCAUCCAAAAUCUUGUAUGUGUACCUUAUGUAAGACAUGGAAAACUUAACCUAAAUUGUGUUUAUUGCCAUUCAUAAAUUGGGACCUUUGCCCUUGUUUUUUUUUUAAAUUCAUGCUUGGGUGUUAUGAGGAUGUCAUUGCACUUUGAUAUCCUUGUGAAACAAGGAUGGCUAAAAAAAUUCAUUCCCUUCGAUGGGCUAAACGCCAUAGGGGUAAUUUACAUUCCCUUUGAUGGGCUAAACGCCCUAGGGAGAAUUUCAUUCUUGUCGACGGGCUCAUCGUCUAAUGAUAAGUUCUCAAUCAUCCUAAUAAGCUAAGAGUUAUAUCAUUUAACUCCGAGCUAGCCAUAACAGUAAAGUAUAUGUCGAGCUCACCAUAAUAUUUUACUAUAUUGCAAGUGAGGCUAUAUUUCCCCAAAAUAGGGUUUACCACACCCUAGGGGCAUACAAAAUGCAUUGACAUCACUACAUCAAGUUCAUGCAUAACAUAUGUUCAUUCAUUCAUUAAAAAUACAAC